UGAAACAAUCACUUAUUUUAUUAAGAAUGAUGCCAUGUAGUGUGUCCAUAUUGGAUUGGGUUAAAUUCAAUUGAUUUGGGUUCGACUCGAUAUGAUUCGUUCACAUCAGGAUUGAGCGAAUACGUUCUGGAUAAGGAUGAGCGGCGUGGAUAGCGGAUAAUGUUGAAUUCAUAUUUUUACAUCCAUCCCUAUUGUUUUUUAUCU
rnacentral:lncRNA from 1 species